rnacentral:rRNA from 1 species
UACGUAGGGUGCAAGCGUUGUCCGGAAUUAUUGGGCGUAAAGAGCUUGUAGGCGGCCUGUCGCGUCGGAUGUGAAAGCCCGGGGCUUAACCCCGGGUCUGCAUUCGAUACGGGCAGGCUAGAGUGUGGUAGGGGAGAUCGGAAUUCCUGGUGUAGCGGUGAAAUGCGCAGAUAUCAGGAGGAACACCGGUGGCGAAGGCGGGUCUCUGGGCCGAUACUGACGCUGAGGAGCGAAAGCGUGGGGAGCGAACAGG